AACCCAGUGUGAUUCGUCACACUAUCAUUAACUGAAUCCAUAGGUUAAUGAGGCGAACCGGGGGAACUGAAACAUCUAAGUACCCCGAGGAAAAGAAAUCAACCGAGAUUCCCCCAGUAGCGGCGAGCGAACGGGGAGGAGCCCAGAGCCUGAAUCAGCAUGUGUGUUAGUGGAAGCGUCUGGAAAGGCGCGCGAUACAGGGUGACAGCCCCGUACACAAAAGCGCAUGUGCUGUGAGCUCGAUGAGUAGGGCGGGACACGUGGUAUCCUGUCUGAAUAUGGGGGGACCAUCCUCCAAGGCUAAAUACUCCUGACUGACCGAUAGUGAACCAGUACCGUGAGGGAAAGGCGAAAAGAACCCCGGCGAGGGGAGUGAAAAAGAACCUGAAACCGUGUACGUACAAGCAGUGGGAGCACCCUUCGGGGUGUG
rnacentral:rRNA from 1 species